rnacentral:rRNA from 1 species
AUUGAACGCUGGCGGCAGGCCUAACACAUGCAAGUCGAACGCGUGGCGGACGGGUGAGUAAUGUCUGGGAAACUGCCUGAUGGAGGGGGAUAACUACUGGAAACGGUAGCUAAUACCGCAUACCAUCGGAUGUGCCCAGAUGGGAUUAGCUAGUAGGUGGGGUAACGGCUCACCUAGGCGACGAUCCGUAGCUGGUCUGAGAGGAUGACCAGCAAAACUGGAACUUAGACUCGGUCCAGACUCCUACGGUAGGCAGCAGUGGGGAAUAUUGCACAAUGGGCGCCAGCCUGCUGCAGCCAUGCCGCUGGUAUGAAGAAGGCCUUCGGGUUGUAAAGUACUUUCAGCGGGGAGGCGUUACCCGCAGAAGAAGCACCGGCUAACUCCGUGCCAGCAGCCGCGGUAAUUC